rnacentral:lncRNA from 1 species
AAUGCAGCUGGCGAGAUGAUGAAUGGUGUAGCAGGGAUGUUCUCUUCCCCCAAGGGAACUGGAACAGGUAGUCUCCAAGCUGGCCAGAUCUCUGGAAAAGGAAGUCUAAAUGGACAAGGAGCUGUGUCAUCCCCUGAAGGAAGCGGAAAGAGAGGUUCCUUACUAGGACAGUCUAUUAAUGCAGCUGGCGAGAUGAUGAAUGGUGUAGCAGGGAUGUUCUCUUCCCCCAAGGGAACUGGAACAGGUAGUCUCCAAGCUGGCCAGAUCUCUGGAAAAGGAAGUCUAAAUGGACAAGGAGCUGUGUCUUCCCCUGAAGGAAGCGGAAAGAGAGGUUCCUUACUAGGACAGUCUAUUAAUGCAGCUGGCGAGAUGAUGAAUGGUGUAGCAGGGAUGUUCUCUUCCCCCAAGGGAACUGGAACAGGUAGUCUCCAAGCUGGCCAGAUCUCUGGAAAAGGAAGUCUAAAUGGACAAGGAGCUGUGUCUUCCCCUGAAGGAAGCGGAAAGAGAGGUUCCUUACUAGGACAGUCUAUUAAUGCAGCUGGCGAGAUGAUGAAUGGUGUAGCAGGGAUGUUCUCUUCCCCCAAGGGAACUGGAACAGGUAGUCUCCAAGCUGGCCAGAUCUCUGGAAAAGGAAGUCUAAAUGGACAAGGAGCUGUGUCAUCCCCUGAAGGAAGCGGAAAGAGAGGUUCCUUACUAGGACAGUCUAUUAAUGCAGCUGGCGAGAUGAUGAAUGGUGUAGCAGGGAUGUUCUCUUCUGCAACAGGGGCAGGAAAGGGAAAUGGUUUGUUCUCUCAAUCCAGCUCUAGCUCAGGGACAAAUACGGGCAAAAUCUCAGGCAGCGUAUCUUCCAUGAGGGGCAGUCGACAAGGAAAGGCCUCAAGAGUCAGUCUCCCCAGUUUCUCACGUCGGAAGCUUCUUAGUUUGGAUCUAAAUCUCCAAAAAGGAGAAGCAGGCAUUUUGCCUGGUGCUUCCCCGAAUUCACCUGGGCUUCCUAAUGACCUUCUGGGCCCUGCAUCUUCUUCACCUGCGAGCGGCCAAGAAACUGCAAACCUCCCUCCUUCCGUCAUCGUCCGUGUCCAGAAGGGAACCAAUAACCAAGCUCUCGAGCAGCUCAAAUCAGAAGGCGGCAAGAUCCAAUUCAUCCCACUGGGACCUCCAGAAUCCUCCGGCGAUGCUCUCCUGUAACGAUAUGCAGACGCGCUGCACAUCCAAGAGAAGGCGUGAGCAGAAGAACCACGGCCACUUUGCCGGCAGGACUCUGAAUCAUGUCGAAUCGCUGCUGCUUUUUGCUUCUGACCCUGGAGCUCUUCCCCCUUCCUCCUCCACCUCCCCUUCAACCUGCAACUGAGACUAGAAAUGGCGUUUUUGGAUGCACAAUCCACCCCUGGACUCUUUCUAUCUAUCAUUGAAAGGCGGAACAGAAACGCUAUAAAUAAUUGCAGGAUCUGAUGGACAUGCUUCCCAACUGCGCUGCUGCUUUGAAUGCACAUGUCUGGCAAAAUUAAUAAAUCAUGCAUUGGAUAAAAUCACCUGUCUUUUCUUUCUUUCUUUCUUUCUUUCUUUCUUUCUUUCUUUCUUUCUUUCUUUCUUUCUUUGGUGUUUUCAGUUCUUUGUUCUCUGGCACUGGGAACCUAAAUGCCCCUUUGAGGGAGACAUGUAUUUCCCAAAAUACCAACCAACAAACAUCACCAGUUGGCAAUUCAUUUGUUUUUUUGAAAAAAAUGGGCUUGCUAGGCAGAGGAUUUCCCAUUUCACAGACCUAGCAAUGGCUAUAUACACCUUUAUAUUGCUGCAAUACAGCAGGGGGGUG